GACUAAAUGAGAAACCGGAUUUGAUAACUUCACAAUCUGGCACAGAGAUACACAAACUACGAUAUUCAUACAAUAAAAAGUAAAGAAAGAAAGAAAGAAAGUCAGAUCUAGAAAGGAAGAUGAAAGAUUCGGUUUUACAGUAAAGUGGUCAAUACAAUGACCACCAACUAGUUCCGACCGACGGGUCAUGACAGCAAAGAAGGGAGAGAAUAAGAAUUGAUUUGCUUUUAGCUAAUAUAUAAGUUAUUAUCAUUAUUUUCAUUUGUUUAAAAAAUUAUCAUUAUUUUCCUUUUAGUGAUCAUUAUUGUCCUUCUAGCUAACAGCCACUAAUCAAAAUCUAAUAACCAUAUGUAAUUAUCAUUAAUUAUGCAUGAGUAAAUAGCUGCGAUCUUGAGUUUAGCACCAAAACAAGCUGCGAGCCUGCGAUCUUGAGUUUAGCACCAAAACAAAAUGAAAUCAAGAAUCGAAACCUAAGUCUAGGAAAAAUCCAAGAAAGGCAGAAACGACCAAACUGCAAAUCUAAUUUUAGAAACAAAAGGAGUACGAGAAAUCGAACCAGGAUCUAUUUCUUCACUAAUAAGCUGAAUCAACAUCCCCUGACCGACAGCUUUCAGUAAAAGCUCAAACUGAUGCUCGAGCCUCUCCGUUAGCUUCUCUCUCAUCUUCUUUCUGAUCUUCACGACCGCCAUAACUGUUUUUGUUCCUGUAUACUUAGAUCUCUGCCAUGGGAACGCAGGAGAGCUACUAUAUACGACUGAUCUGUUUGUACUUUUCUCAUCUUCUUGAUCCACCGCCUUUUCUUCCCGAGAGAUCACAGCUCGAACUUGUCUGGAUAGAGGAACUCGGUGUUGUAGCGGACGGGGAAGUACGGGAAACGCCGGAGAUCUCACUAGGCUGACGCCGUAUAAGUUCGUUUUCACCGGAGACGCUAUAAACAUUUUUAUUUUAUUUUAUUUUUGUAGUUUUUUACUUAUUUUCUCGAUAUUUGGAGACAGAGAGCGAGCAAGAGCGCUGAUAAAUAACGCCAGCGUUUGUCUCGUGGACCUCGUGCUCGAGGAAUUCAGAUGCGUGAAACGGCUGCGUUUUUCGGUAAAUUUUCAGUACACAUUCCCAACCACGGUGAAAUUAUUUAUGACGACAAUUCCUGCGGUCAAACAAAUGAUACUGUCCGAACCAAAAUUUACGCGUGUAAGAGCGCGUGUAAGAGCGCGUGAGCUCCAUAUUCCACAAGCAGAAAGCUACGUGUAUGACUGUUUAGUGGCAUGAUAUGCGGCAUGGAAGUUUAUAAGCUUUUUUUUUAUUUACUUAUUAAGUCGCGACAAAACUUUCUUGUCAACGCAAUGAAAAAGAACAAUUCUGUAACUUUAUGUUAUGAGUUAUGAACUUAUGAUGACU